CUUUCCAUUCCAUUUUCUGAUUUGGAGACAAAAAAAGCCUUGGACCGUAAAUUCAACGUUGAAGGUAUUCCCUGUUUAAUUAUUUUGCAACCUAGGGAUAAUAAGGAUGAGGCAACAUUGCACGAUGGAGUUGAAAUCCUUUAUCGAUUCGGAGUCCAAGCUUUCCCAUUUACUAAACAGAGACUGCAGGAGUUGGAAAUGCAAGAAAAGGAAAAGCAUGAGAGCCAGACCUUAACCAAUUUACUAACAAACAAUGGUAGAGACUAUCUUUUCGGUCAUCCUGCACCUAAACAGGUUCCAGUUGAUUCAUUGCUAGGCAAAACAAUUGGACUUUUCUUCUCAGCCCAAUGGUGU
rnacentral:misc_RNA from 1 species